AGCAGCCGCGGUAAUUCCAGCUCCAAUAGCGUAUAUUAAAAGUUGUUGCAGUUAAAAAGCUCGUAGUUGAAUUUCGGGGUUAGUAGGUUGGUCAUGCCUCCGGUAUGUACUGAUCUCACUGAUUCCUCCUUCCUUAUGAACCGUAAUGCCAUUAAUUUGGUGUUGCGGGAAAUUUGGACUGUUACUUUGAAAAAAUUAGAGUGUUUAAAGCAAGCUAACGCUUGAAUACAUUAGCAUGGAAUAAUGAAAUAGGACGUUCGAUCUUAUUUUGUUGGUUUCUAGGAUUGACGUAAUGAUUAAUAGGGAUAGUUGGGGGCAUUAGUAUUCAAUUGUCAGAGGUGAAAUUCUUGGAUUUAUUGAAGGCUAACUACUGCGAAAGCAUUUGCCAAGGAUGUUUUCAUUAAUCAAGAACAAAAGUUAGGGGAUCGAAGACGAUCAGAUACCGUCGUAGUCUUAACCAUAAACUAUG
rnacentral:rRNA from 1 species